UAAAAAAAUUAUUUUUAUUGUGGUAAAACAUAUAUAACAUAAAAUUUACCAUUUUAAAGUACACAAUUCAUUGGCAUUAAGUACAUUCACAAUGCUGUAUAACCACCACAACGGAACUUUUGUUAUAGAGCUUUUCUUCAUCGCUAUGAAGGAGUAAUCCUUUUAAACAUAAGUCACAGCAUGUCACUACCCUGCCCGCAAACAUUCAGUGGCUUCCCAUCUUGCUCAGCAAGGGACAAAGUCCUGCCGUGGCCCACAGAGCUUUUGGCUGUCCUCUCUGAACGCUCUCUUCACUCAUUUCACCCGGUCAUUGGCUUCCUUGCUGUCCCUUUGACAAAGUGACCCUGCUUCUCCUUCAGGGUCUCUGCAUGUGUUUUUUCCUUUGCUGGAAUGCUCUUUUCCUUGGAUAUCCAUUGUAUCCUCACUUCAUUCAGAUCUCUCCUCAGAUAUCACCU
rnacentral:lncRNA from 1 species